rnacentral:misc_RNA from 1 species
GAUGAAGAACGUAGCGAAAUGCGAUAAGUAGUGUGAAUUGCAGAAUUCAGUGAAUCAUCGAAUCUUUGAACGCACAUUGCGCCCUUUGGUAUUCCAAAGGGCAUGCCUGUUCGAGCGUCAUUUGUACCCUCAAGCUUUGCUUGGUGUUGGGCGUCUUGUCUCUAGCUUUGCUGGAGACUCGCCUUAAAGUAGUUGGCAGCCGGCCUACUGGUUUCGGAGCGCAGCACAAGUCGCACUCUCUAUCAGCAGAGGUCUAGCAUCCAUUAAGCCUUUUUUUCAACUUUUGACCUCGGAUCAGGUAGGGAUACCCGCUGAACUUAAGCAUGUCAAUAAGCGGAGGA